rnacentral:rRNA from 1 species
UGGGGAAUUUUGGACAAUGGGGGAAACCCUGAUCCAGCCAUCCCGCGUGUGCGAUGAAGGCCUUCGGGUUGUAAAGCACUUUUGGCAGGAAAGAAACGUCGCGGGUUAAUACCCCGCGAAACUGACGGUACCUGCAGAAUAAGCACCGGCUAACUACGUGCCAGCAGCCGCGGUAAUACGUAGGGUGCAAGCGUUAAUCGGAAUUACUGGGCGUAAAGCGUGCGCAGGCGGUUCGGAAAGAAAGAUGUGAAAUCCCAGAGCUUAACUUUGGAACUGCAUUUUUAACUACCGGGCUAGAGUGUGUCAGAGGGAGGUGGAAUUCCGCGUGUAGCAGUGAAAUGCGUAGAUAUGCGGAGGAACACCGAUGGCGAAGGCAGCCUCCUGGGAUAACACUGACGCUCAUGCACGAAAGCGUGGGGAGCAAACAGGAUUAGAUACCCUGGUAGUCCACGCCCUAAACGAUGUCAACUAGCUGUUGGGGCCUUCGGGCCUUGGUAGCGCAGCUAACGCGUGAAGUUGACCGCCUGGGGGAGUACGGUCGCAAGAUU